UUUGUACCGAGGCAGGACACUCAAGAAGAUGCACCAGUUUGUAUUUCCGCCACCAAAGAAGAGAGUGCCUGCUUCCACAAAGCCUGCCGACGGCAUGUGUGCCAAUCUGAUAGGACUGAAAUGGUAUCAUUGAGUUGCUGAAGUUUCAACAGGACCGGCUUGCAUCACGGUGGACCUACCGAAGCCAUUCUUAAUGGCAUCACAAUUACCAGUUUAAUCCAGUUGACAAAUAACAGGAUGAAUCUAGCUAUCUGUUUUGUCUGUGCCUCCACUCCACUAUCAGAGCUCUAAUGGAGAAAACCAACCAGCAGAAA
rnacentral:lncRNA from 1 species